CCCGUGAACCCAGGAGGCAGAGGUUGCCACUGCACUCCAGCCUGGGCAACAAGAACAAAACUCCAUCUCAAAAAGAAAGAAAAAGGAGACAUGACAUUACAAUACUUCAGAAAUUCAAAGGACCUUUAGUGGCUACUAUGAGCAAUUAUAUGCCAAGAAAUUGGAAAAUCUAGAAGAAAUGGAUAAAUUCCUAGACACGUACACCCUACCAAGAUUCAACCAUAAAGAAAUCCAAAAGCUGAACAGGCCAAUAACAAGGAACAACAUGGAAGCCGUAAUAAAAAGUCUUUCCGGCUGGGCAUGGUGGUUCAGGUCUGUAAUCCCAGCACUCCGGGCGGCCAAGGCGGCGCACACCUGUAAUCUUGUUUACAAUAGUCGAAAGGUGGAAACAACCCAAAUGUCCAUUGAGAGAUAAACAGAUAAACAAAAUGUGUAUAUGUAAGGAAUGGAACGCUAUUCAGCCUUAAAAAUGAACAAAAUUCUGACACGUGCGACAACAUGGAUGCUUUAUUUUAUUUUUUUUGAGACAGAGUUUUGCUCUUGUCGCCCAGGUUGGAAUGCAGUGGUGCAACCUCAGCUCACUGCAACCUCCACCUCCCAGGUUCUCGUGAUCCGCCCACCUCAGCCUCCCAAAGUGCUGGGAUUACAGGCGUGAACCACUACAGCUGGCCAACAUUUCUCAACAGAAGACAUACAAAUGGCUCUUUCCCAUCUUGCAAGAUGGCGGGUGAAAAAGUUGAGAAGCCAGAUACUAAAGAGAAGAAACCCGAAGCCAAGAAGGCUGAUGCUGGUGGCAAGGUGAAAAAGGUUAACCUCAAGGCUAAGAAGCCCAAGAAGGGGAAGCCCCAUUGCAGCCGCAACCCCGUCUUUGUCAGAGGAAUUGGCAGGUAUUCCCGAUCUGCCAUGUAUUCCAGAAAGGCCAUGUACAAGAAGAAGUACUCAGCCGCUAAAUCCAAGCUUGAAAUGAAAAAGAAGGAGAAGGUUCUUGCAACUCUUACAAAACCAGUUGGUGGUGACAAGUAUGGUGGUACCUGGGUGGUUAAACUUCGCAAAAUGCCUAGAUACUAUCCUACUGAAGAUGUGCCUCGAAAGCUGUUGAGCCACGGCAAAAAAACCCUUCAGUCAGCACGUGAGAAAACUGCGAGCCAGCAUUCCCCCCGGGACCGUUCUGAUCAUCCUCACUGGACGCCACAGGGGCAAGAGGGUGGUUUUCCUGAAGCAGCUGGCUAGUGGCUUGUUACUUGUGACUGGACCUCUGGUCCUCAAUCGAGUUCCUCUAUGAAGAACACACCAGAAAUUUGUCAUUGCCACCUCAACCAAAAUCGAUAUCAGCAAUGUCAAAAUCCCAAAACAUCUUACUGAUGCUUACUUCAAGAAGCAGCAGCUACGGAAGCCCAGACACCAGGAAGGUGAGAUCUUCGACACAGAAAAAGAGAAAUACGAGAUUACAGAGCAGCACAAGAUUGAUCAGAAAGCUGUGGACUCACAAAUUCUACCAAAAAUCAAAGCUGUUCCUCAGCUCCAGGGCUACCUGGAUCUGUGUUUGCCCUGACGAAUGGAAUUUAUCCUCACAAAUUGGUGUUCUAA